UCCUGCGCAGGACGCGGGCCUCGCCCGGGCGCAGCACCGGCCCCGGCACGGUCAGCACCGGGCAGUCCGCGUGGUCCUGGACCGCGCGCAGGACCC
rnacentral:tRNA from 1 species